CUUAUCUCCUUUCUUACUCUUUUUAUAAAUAUCUUCUUCGCGUUAACCUUGAUAGCACUUCAUUAUCUUAUCGCUUACUCUUCAAACUUUAUCUUUGUCAUAAUCUUGAUUUAUCGUCAUUUCCUUAAACGAAAUGUA
rnacentral:misc_RNA from 1 species